UGGGGGAUAUUGCACAAUGGGCGAAAGCCUGAUGCAGCGACGCCGCGUGGGGGAUGAAGGCCUUCGGGUUGUAAACUUCUUUUGCUCUGAACAAGGCGCACCAUGGGGAGUGUUGAGUGUAGGGGUUGAUUAGCGCCGGCUAACUACGUGCCAGCAGCCGCGGUAAUACGUAGGGCGCGAGCGUUGUCCGGAAUUCUUGGGCGUAAAGGGCUUGUAGGUGGCUGGUUGCGUCUGUCGUGAAAGCUCAUGGCUUAACUGUGGGUUUGCGGUGGGUACGGGCUGGCUUGAGUGCAGUAGGGGAGGCUGGAAUUCCUGGUGUAGCGGUGGAAUGCGCAGAUAUCAGGAGGAAUACCGGUGGCGAAGGCGGGUCUCUGGGCUGUUACUGACACUGAGGAGCGAAAGCAUGGGGAGCGAACAGG
rnacentral:rRNA from 1 species